rnacentral:rRNA from 1 species
CACGUAGGGGCCAAGCGUUGUCCGGAAUCAUUGGGCGUAAAGAGCGCGUAGGCGGCCCGAUAAGUCCGCUGUGAAAGUCAAGGGCUCAACCCUUGAAUGCCGGUGGAUACUGUCGGGCUAGAGUCCGGAAGAGGCGAGUGGAAUUCCUGGUGUAGCGGUGAAAUGCGCAGAUAUCAGGAAGAACACCCGUGGCGAAAGCGGCUCUCUGGAACGGUACUGACGCUGAGACGCGAAAGCGUGGGGAGCGAUCCGG